CCCGCCGUAGCUCAGCGGAAGAGCGCCCGGCUGUAGACCGGGUGGUCCGGGGUUCGAAUCCCCGCGGCGGGACCA
rnacentral:tRNA from 1 species